rnacentral:lncRNA from 1 species
UCAUCGAUAUUCACGAAGAGACAUCUUUAAUGAUUUGAAAUUGUAACGCUUUGUACGCGUACAUCUCACUGAUUCACACUGAGCACCAUCUAAAGGCACAAACACACUAAGAAGGAAUAUAGAACAAGUAACAAUGGUGCACGGAAAGGAGAGGAAUCAGAUCAUGCAAGAUCUAUUCGGUUACCUAUCUGAAGAAGAGGAGGUCAAGUCACAAGAUGAGCCCAAUUGCCUGCCUAACAGUGUA